UACGUAGGCAGCGAGCGUUGUUCGGAAUUACUGGGCGUAAAGAGUGUGUAGGCGGCGCUCUAAGUUCGGUGUGAAAUCUCUCGGCUUAACUGGGAGGUGCGCCGGAAACUGGAGUGCUCGAACGUGGGAGAGGAAAGCGGAAUUCCUGGUGUAGCGGUGAAAUGCGUAGAUAUCAGGAGGAACACCUGCGGUGUAGACGGCUUCUGGACCAUUGUUGACGCUGAGACACGAAAGCGUGGGUAGCAAACAGG
rnacentral:rRNA from 1 species